UGGGUGAACCGGAGACACAUGCAAAGAGAACUUCGACAAAAUUGGAAGCAAAGAUACUUCGGCGAAGAACAAAUCUGAAACAGGACAAAUCUUAUUCUCAUUUAUCUCUUAUUUUGUUUGUUAACACUUCAAUUUGAAAGUUUUAAGUACAAAUUCUUCAAAAGGUGUUUAUGGAAAACUAGGGUUAGUUCUUAAGAAAAAAUUGAAUUUUCUUUCAAAAGUUUUACUCGAUUUCUGUUUCGAUGGGAGAUUUGCUAUCAGCAGAUCUUGUUUUGCAAACCCAUUUAAGCUAUUUUGAAAACGUUGAGUGACGAAAUCCUUAGCUAAUUUGGGGAUUUAUGUGUUUGUUUCACCUAGGGAUUUUUCUAUCUUGAAUGAUAUGAUUACUCUUCUUGACUAUUAACUUGAUUGAUCUGUUGUUGCAGUGAUGAUUCGAAUGGCGUAUGUUAACGCAGCUGAUUCUCGCAGCAACAACGUAGGUUCAAUCCCUAAUCUUCACUGUCGGGAGUUACAGGAAGAUGAAAUUUAUGAAACCAUCAUCAAGUUAGUCGGAUCUCACCAACUCAAUUUCGAAGGAAAUCGUCAUGGGACAAACUGCCACAGCUGGAACAAGCUUUGAUUAAUUUGUUCCAGUGUCGCAAUCUUGCCAGUACAUUAGACUCGCCUGCUAGCUCUUACAGUAUGGAGCUUGUGUUUUGACUCUGCCAUCCUCUCAUCAAUUUGCACCUCGAAGGACCAUCACAGACUUCUCCAAUAUCGGCCUCUUAACAUCGUACAAUAUCACCUCGGAUGGGAAUUACAGCAACUCAGCUUCGUGGAAUUCCAUAUUGGGGCGAGUCAGUUAACUUACUCGGAUCAAAACCAUCUCGUGCCAAGUCAAAUCGGGACAGAUAUCGGGCGACUGAUCGAGGCUAACUACAUCGGCCAGAUACCAGGCAACAGAUCGAGGCUAACUACAUCGGCCAAUCCCAUGCAACUCACUCGGGUCAGUUCAUUUUAUAUCGGGAAAGAUGAACCAUAUCGGACAAGGCAGUUACUUCAGAUUAACUCGGGCCGAUCAACUCGAUAAGAUUACAAUUGUCUCGCUUUAAGAACUCAGCUCGGGAAGGUUGAAUCAGAUCGUUCUAGAAUAAGCACACCUCUAUCCGGACAUUCAUCUAUAACAGGGAACAUUCUUAACUCCUGAAUCCUCAUUUUGCGAGUUAUUUUGAUGAGUGCUAUCUAAAAUCUCCCUCAUACAAGCCUGGUAAAAGAGUGAUUGGAUUAGUCAAAUACAACUCACCUAGGAAAACACGAGUAGUUCUUGUUUUAGAAAUUUGAGAACAUAGACCCUUGACGUUUGGCAUACAAAUGUGAAUUGCUUCCGCAACUUGUAGCUAUGAAUUACAGAUUGUCAAUCCUGACUUAAUAUCUCGUCGUCGUAAAUUGAUGCCUUGCUAUAUAGAUUAUCACCAUGAAUUCAAAAGAGACCAUACAGAAGAGACCAUCCGAUAUUUAUUCACUAUGAAUUCGAGCCUUCCAUUUGAGUAAUUUCAUUACCACUCAAUCGAGCCCAAAACUGCAUUUAACUUCUUAGUGACACAUCAAUCUGAUUACUUGAAUGAUCACCUUAACCAUUUAGAUUGUCACCAUGCUUAAUUCUUAAAUGUAAUGUCAGUCUACUUGAACGUGCCGUUUAUCUUGUUCUUGAUAAUCCUGUGUUGUUAAAGUGAUAUCUUAGCCAGAAUAUCUACAACAGUGACAUUUGCAAGGGGUCAUUUAAUUUUUACAACCAUUACUCAUCUGAAUUGAAAGUCGCAGGUGCAUAAACCCAAUCCCGAGUAUCAGUUGAGGAGCAAAAUGAUUUCGCAUGGAUGAGCUUUGGGAGAUGACGAAGACGCCAAAGAGUAAGAAGCUUUGCUCAUAGAGUCGAAAUGGUCCUCUUCGACCAAACCACCACACAUCCCCCAGUACGCAGCUGAUACUUAUGCCUACCUACCAGGAAGGAAAGCUAAGUACCAUCGAUCUCAAACACUUGGCUCAUUACAAUUCGCAUAACAUCUGAAUUCAUCUGCCACGACAGUUUAAACUUUUAAAUGCUAGUGAAUAGUCCAAUUUGGAUCUUUUCACCGAUUAACAAAACCCGCUUUCCUUAAGUUACUAAGUAAUAUUUUGGCCUGAUUUUGGAGGAGACAGAUCAUGUCAUCUGCUGCACAUUUGUAGUUUGGAUGCUGAAUAUGCAAUUUGGCUUAAGUUUAGCUUGGGUGCUCACUUACUUGACUUGUUGUUGCAGAAAAAGGUCGAAGAGAGAGUGAAAUUUAUUUAAUUAUGUAUAGAACUUCCAGCAAAACCAGCUUGAAAAGACGCCCUUAUGAUCGAUCACUUUGAAUCAUCCGUCUCGGACCAAAAUCACCUCUAGCCUCCACCAGACAGUCUUUUGCUCUGGUCUCAUCAUCUUCUGGCCACUACCCAUCACCAGGAGAAGAACUGAAUAGACGAUCAACUCUAACUGACAUAUCCUUCUCGUAUCAGAUCACCUUGAGUCACCAUCUCAGAUGUGAUAAUUUUGCCCAACACAACGGACUGGACGACUCAACUUUGAAGUUGUAAAUGGAGAACCUGGUAGAAUCAUGCAAGUGAAGGUGCAAAACUCUAGCAUAAUAACGUGUCGUGGCAACGACGAUUACUCCUCAGAUAUAGGAGCAAGGAUCAUAGCUGUCAUUUGAUGUUAAAAUAUGUCACUUAUCAAAGCACAGGCCAUGUCACCAGUUAUUGGAAGUCUAAUCUAAUGAGAUUAUCUUGGAAGAAUCCUGCUAUGAACAAUCACCUCGGAUCAUCCAUCUGGGAGUCUGCUCAUGAAACAUCAUUGCUCGUCUAAGGAAGCUAUCUUGGAACAAAUAGUUCAGGUCAAUCAACUCGGAAAGCAAGGAAGUAGUAUCUCAAGCUGCAACUACUCGCGCUAGAUCACAUCGGGGCACAUACAAACCACUCGGAUUCCAGCCAGUAACGUCUGUAACCAGCAUAUAUCGGGCAUUCAUCAUCUUCGGGCGAUAAGCGAGAACAAUUCGCCUAACUAACACAUCCCAGCACACAAAAGCUCGCAGAAGUUUGAAAGGACAACAAGAAGACUCUAAUCACGUGGAGAAUCUGCACAAUGGAGGCACGACCAAAUUAGACAGUCCGCUUAAGUCUGCCAAGUUCAUUAGGAUAUGUCAGUCGGACUAUGAACAACAAUCAGUCAUCUCGGGACAAAGCAAUAUACUAAGCUGUUGCGCCUACUCGUGCCAACUCGUAUCGGGGCAUAUCCAAUCCAUUUCGGGUCCUAGCAGUGAACACUUCCUCGCAGCGAAUGAUCAUCGGGAUAUAACACCCGAUCAAAAUGAUGAUGGUCAACAGACUCGAUUGAAACAACCGCUUCGAAAAAUUUCGUCACAGCAGUCAACCCAGCUUCAUCGAGAUAUAUCAAUCAGUCGGACCUUUGAGGUUAAUCGGGCGAGAUACGACGGCAACAUGAUGAUGAGCAUUGAUAUUGGAAUGGUCGUGAACCGAAAUAGCAGCAAUCACUUCUCUUCCUAAUUAGUCUACAAGUGUGGGAGAUUCGGGGAUACCUGGAGCAAUGUGUGACUGAGAUAUUCCUCUAGCGUGUGACGCAGAACGGACAAGGAGCGAAUGCUGUUCCGAAGAUAAUCACUUGAACCACAAGGCUGUGCCAACUACGUUCAGUACUCAGCUAUUUCGGACCAGAAACGCCAGAGACCAGUUUAUACAAGGCAUUCGUCUAUCUCAGAACCAACUCAUGACUACUUCCUCUCCGUUUCGAUAAAUUGGGAGCAAGGCAGCUCGGGCCAACAACAACCAUUCGAGCAUACCUUUCAUCGGAUGAAUUUCCAGCUUGGAAUCGAUUACCUCGCAGCAACAGCCGACUAUGUGAAGAUAUCAACUUCGGGAAAGAACACGAAUGUUUGCCUAUCGAAACCUUUGUAUGUGACCACACCAAGCCUGACUACCAGUGAGACGAUAUCUCACCUUGCCGACAACAAUCUACUACGGAUGCAAUGUAGGACUCUGUCUAUCCUAACACAAAGCGUCUAGUCAGGGCGGAACUUGAAACAAACAAAUCGAGACAAACGGUAGAAUGAAGGCAUUCUUUGGGAGACAACUGAUAACUCCAAGAUCAAGGAAAGAACUCAUAAAUCGUGGCAACAAAACGGGACCGAAAUUGAAUAUCUGUGGAGCAUAGUGUACUGCAUGAAACGCACGGCGAUAAGGCGAUGGUAUGAUAAACGCAGCGAUAUACCAUUCGUAUUUGGGUCAUCAAACGGAAUGGCCCGAGAUGGUCUAAGACUUCUGACUCCAACUUAGACUACACAGGCUUUGGAAAAUAAUAACCUGGGGAACGCCUUGGGUUGUUAGCGUACUGUAACACACAGGUCAUUCGUACUCGGUUCAUCAAACGAAAUGAUCCGAGGUGAUUUAAGAGCCCUGGACGAGCCAGGAGCUAACUUGUCAUUUAUUUCUUUAAAACCGCGAGGGUAGGAAAUAAGACAUGAGCGACAAAUGGUCAUUCGUACUCGGGGCAACGCCAAUGUGGAAGUGCCGAGGUGACUUACACUCGAAUGGUCAUUCGUACUCGGGGCAACGCCAGUGUGGAAGUGCCGAGGUGGCUUACAGUCGACUGGCUAUUCGAUACUCGGGGCAGUGGCAGUGUGGAAGUGCCGAGAUAGCCUAAGGGUUCUGGUGGUUGGUGAAGCCAGUUACCAAAGACUGUUAAGAUACGAUUUCUUCUCAGCCAGGAAAAUAUGUAUGCUAAAACUACGAGCGGUUAUACAUGAAAGGGGAAACACAAUCGGGACGACGGAUCUGUCGGGUUAUCAGUGUGGGAGACUUGAAUAACAUAAGUACAUCGUAUUUGUAAGAAAACAAUAACAAAGGCGGCUUCUAAUCGGUCAUCAACAGGCUAACACAAACUGAGCUAAAUAUCACAUGAAGGCUAAAUGGUGUGCACGGAAGCUACAUGAUGGACAAAAUCAAAAUCAAACGCAAAAGCAACCAGCACCAAUCGGCCCACAACAGGAAUGGUCGAUGGAAACCAAAGCUAUGUCAGGGUAACACGAACAGAGGAGACUACAUACAGGGACACGUAAGAUAAGAAGAGUAAUUGUCUUAGUUGAGAAUCGUGAACAGCAAAAGUUACGGACCGAGAUCACCAACCAAAUGAACGUUGCAGUGAGACGAAGGAUGUAAUGAGAUCACGGAGUCUCCCGAGUUUGUGAAUCAAGCAAGAAGUUGCAGCAACAAACCAUACCGUGUCGGCAUCACUGGCAGCAAACAAGAUCACAAGUAACUAUAUAGUCCGGUUAUGAGGCGAGUAAUGUACGAGUAGAUCCUACAUAUGGCUUUUUCACACCGUUGCAGAGUAAAGUGGAACAAUGCGCCAGAGCAUCUGGACUUGUCAGGUCGAAAUAAGGAACUUAUGGACUUCAUUGUUAACAGCAAAACCAAAGUCUAUCACCGAAACAUGAGCUAAGUAUCGCUUAUCUCCAAGGCCGCAGCCCUCGGGCAUUGCAGGAGCGUAAGUAUUUUGUGCACAUAUCUGGAUGCACAUCUUUGGGCGAGAAAAAGACAUGGAAACUAAGGAAGAGAGCUAGUUUGGGCACAGGGGCAAAAUUGUUGUCUCGAGACUCCGCAAACGAAUAGGGGCAAGUACGCGUACUAGGAUGAAGCAGAUUGUAUUCCUUUGCGCAGUCCUUUCAACAACAAUCAUAUAACUACUAGACUGACGCAAGAAAAACGCUUUGGAGUGGCACGAGAACACCUACUAGGAUGAAGCAGAUUGUAUUCCUUUGCGCAGUCCCUUCAACAACAAUCAUAUAACUCCAAGACUGACGCAAGAAAAAUGCUUUGGUGUGGCACGAGAACACCCUCAUCGUUUGAAGCAAGCCGAGGAUGCUAAGACUGUCGGACGACUAGCAGGAAACCUAAGUACCAUCUACCAUGAGAAAUUGUCUUAUCGUGUAUUUCACUUGUUGAUUCAUUCACAAAACCAUAGCAACCACACUAAACAGACGUCCGACAUCGAUGGUUACCAAGGGAGAUGGAUAACUCGGGGCAAAUGUAGUAAUCCACAAUUGUUAGCGGAGACCAGCCAGUACGAUCCUACGGUAGCGGAAUUACAAGGAAUAUCACGGCACGACAACAACAGUCAGCAAUCUUUGAACCAAGAAUUGCUUUGAAACUUCGCACAAGAAUAUGGGCAAGUAUGCAUACUGCAGACGCAGUUUAUAUUCUUCUGCUCAGUUCCUUUAGCAACAAUGAAAAACUUACUACAAAGUACAUCUGAUGCACCAUUCAGCCAACGUUAUCAACUUACCCAAACAAAAAGCAUUCUCCACCGGACUCGUAUCAGAAAAGGAAGCCCGAUAAAACCAAAAAGAGCAGCUAAACAACAGAAUAUCCCAACAAGAAUGCAACAUUCAAGCGAUAGUCAGCAGCACCGAGAGAGCUUAUCACCAAAGUUAGACACAGUUGAAUUAUGAACCAUCCGUAUUCAACUGUUUCGAAUUCAACCCAUUAAGACACUCCAGACACCAACACCAUCUUGAGCAAGUGUUAAAACAGUUGUCACAAAGAGAACUGCUACCAUCCAAGAAUUUGAACUCCAGAUGCAAGCUUAAGCCGAGCCAGAAGUACACCCAAGAAUUUCAGAUCACAAAGAGGAUAAUUCCUACAAGACGAGACUUCACUCCGAGCCGAUUAUCUAUAACAACACGAUUUGAACUCGUCCACAAUAUCGAGAAAAUCCAGAGCCGAUUAAAAAGGAAGUAAGCACGCGACGUCGAGUACAUUCGAAACAUACGAGCCAAUCGGGAAGCACAACAAGAUAGGAACCAAGGACAAUGAUAUGCCUAGUCGGGAGGCAUUCUACUCAGAAGCCCAGAUCCAGACAGCUCGUAGCCCAACAGAAAGCCCAAGUUGCCAUAAUUUGAGAGUCGGGUAACAAUCAGUUUGACUUUGAAUAACGCACAGAUAAUCAUCAUCAAUCCAAGACCCGGAAUGAAGGUACCGAAUGCAAGACAUCAACAACAACGCGUAAUAUUUUCUUAAGGAUUUGCUCUUCGAACUAACCUCAUGAAAAGGGGCAUAAAUGUAGGAGAAGAAAAUAUACAAGGACACGUGUCGAGAGAUCUAGGAAGAAGUAGCUUAAUUAGAUACAAUUGUUUGUAGGAAAUAAGACCUUGCUAUCUCUUAUCCUAACUAGUCUGUCCUAAAGGCAUUAUUGUAACUCGUGUACAUCCCCACCCCUUUAUAAGGGAAAGAGAGAUAUGUUUGAAGGGACCGAUCUCCCUCCCCCACAACCUAGAGCUUAACAAGAACUCCAAUCCCUUUUAAUGGAGUUUGUAUGUAACACCGAUUUGGUAACACCAUCGAUCAUAGUGAAACACCUUGGACGUAGGCUUCAUUAAUGGCCGAACCA